CGACGAAUCUUCCGCAAUGCACGAAAGUGUGACGGAGCAAUGCCGCGUGUGGGAUGAAUCGGCUUCGCCGUGUAAACCACUGUCAGGAGCUCGUAAUACUGAACAGCUCCAGAGGAAGGGCCGGCUAACCUCGUGCCAGCAGCCGCGGUAAUACGAGGGGCCCGAGCGUUAUUCAGAAUCACUGGGCUUAAAGGGAACGCAGGCUGGCUCGCAAGCAUCUCGUGAAAUCCCUCGGCUCAACCGAGGAAUUGCGGGGUGAACUGCGAGCCUUGAGGCGGGUAGAGGUCAUCGGAACGAUCGGUGGAGCGGUGAAAUGCGUAGAUAUCGAUCGGAACGCCAAAGGUGAAGACAGGUGACUGGGCCCGUUCUGACGCUCAUGUUCGAAAGCGUGGGGAGCAAACAGGAUUAGAUACCCCCGUAGUCC
rnacentral:rRNA from 1 species